AUUGAACGCUGGCGGCAUGCCUUACACAUGCAAGUCGAACGGCAGCACGGGGGCAACCCUGGUGGCGAGUGGCGAACGGGUGAGUAAUACAUCGGAACGUGCCCAGUAGUGGGGGAUAGCCCGGCGAAAGCCGGAUUAAUACCGCAUACGACCUACGGGUGAAAGCGGGGGAUCGCAAGACCUCGUGCUACCGGAGCGGCCGAUGUCAGAUUAGGUUGUUGGUGGGGUAAAAGCCUACCAAGCCGACGAUCUGCAGCUGGUCUGAGAGGACGACCAGCCACACUGGGACUGAGACACCGGCCAGACUCCUACGGGAGGCAGCAGUGGGGUAAUUUUGGACAAGUGGGCGCAAGCCUG
rnacentral:rRNA from 1 species